UACGGAGGGGGCUAGCGUUGUUCGGAAUUACUGGGCGUAAAGCGCACGUAGGCGGCUUUGCAAGUCAGAGGUGAAAGCCCGGGGCUCAACCCCGGAAUUGCCUUUGAGACUGCAUCGCUAGAAUUGUGGAGAGGUAAGUGGAAUUCCGAGUGUAGAGGUGAAAUUCGUAGAUAUUCGGAAGAACACCAGUGGCGAAGGCGGCACUCUGGGACGGUACUGACGCUGAGACACGAAAGCCAGGGGAGCGAACGGG
rnacentral:rRNA from 1 species